rnacentral:rRNA from 1 species
UACAGAGGUCUCAAGCGUUGUUCGGAUUCAUUGGGCGUAAAGGGUGCGUAGGUGGUGCCGUAAGUCGGAUGUGAAAUCUCGGGGCUCAACCCCGAAACUGCAUUCGAUACUGCGGUGCUCGAGGACUGGAGAGGAGACUGGAAUUCACGGUGUAGCAGUGAAAUGCGUAGAUAUCGUGAGGAAGGCCAGUGGCGAAGGCGGGUCUCUGGACAGUUCCUGACACUGAGGCACGAAGGCCAGGGGAGCAAACGGG